CUUCGGUGGAUCGCCGGUUGUUAGCCGUUCCGUCAGUGGCUCGUCGCCCGAUCGAGGUAUCACGAGGCCCCGUAGGGGCUCUCGCGCCUCCUCCCACGGAUGCUGGACGUGCCGUCGCAGGCGAAAGCCGCCGUCCUGUCGCACACCCUCAGUGUGGACCGGCGAACGGCAGGCGCUGCUGGUGACGGAGGACCAGUCGGAGGUCGGAGGCUCGCGGCGAGUAGGUCGGUCACCCACCCGACCCGUCUUGAAACACGGACCAAGGAGUCUAACAUGUGCGCGAGUCAGUGGGUCUUGAUUAUGCCCACGGGCGCAAUGAAAGCAAAGGGAGGACYACUCCUUCCGAGUUGGGAUCCCCGNNNUCGGGCGGGGCGCACCAACGACCCGUCCUAUGCGGCUCGCCGCUUGGGUGGAGUGUGAGCGUACACGUUGGGACCCGAAAGAUGGUGAACUAUGCCCGGACAGGACGAGGCCAGAGGAAACUCUGGUGGAGGUCCGCAGCGGUUCUGACGUGCAAAUCG
rnacentral:rRNA from 1 species